AAAUACAGACAUCCACAGCUGGACAUACUGCAGAGAGUGAGAGACCUUGGAAAACUCAAUCCUAAAUGAUUGUUUUCAACAAGCCCCUCCUUUAGGACUCAGGCAAAUAUGCAGACUAGGGGGUAGAAAGAUUAUAAGAGCCACAGAGGAUGGAAAAAUAUCAGAAAAACAAGGCCUUCUAGACAAAACAGGAUUUACAUACCUAUGAAGUCAUAGAAAUUAUGCAGCAGUCACAUUACCUGCAUGGGUUUACGCCAGAUGGAGUUUUGGUGCUUAAAGUGGAAGCAGACAGAAACCCACCUCCCUAAACCAGAAGCUAUCUCCAAAUGAUAGUGGAUCACAAAGGAAAAACUGUUUUUCAGAGUCUCACUGGGUCAAAGCAUAAUGACAGGUAAGCCUCAUGGCCACCAGAGGUUGGCCAACACAAACUGAAACUCAAUGGUACUUUUGGAGUUUUUUUUUUUAAACUUUACAGAUCCUUUGCUUACAUACUGUGAUUUCCAAUUUUGUCUUUUAUCAGUUGUCUGUCUAUGCAGAUGUGCUAUUGAACAGGACAAAGAAGAAAUCUUGGUACUAGAGGCAGCAGAAGAAAGAGCUAUGGAGUGGGGACUAUCAGCCAGAGACACAGUCUCUGCACUGUGUUUCCAACUUCAGCUUAAGGGCUGGGGAAUUACUAACAGAUUUGUGGAACACAAACUUCAGAAUCCUAACUCAGAUUCCUUGCACAUCCAAGGGAGAGAGUGCCAGUGCUGUGUUCAGCCCCAGACUGCAGAAUCCAGAGGAAAAGAGGAGGAGGCUCACAGGCUGGGGCAGCUGCCAAUCUUCCUGUGCCUUUACUGCCUCCUUGUGGUGGAUUGCAUGUAGUACAUGACUCCAGUGUGUAGGAGCUGUAACUGCCACCAGCAACUCUGUACCCAGACUGAGUAGGUAAGAGGGUGGGGUCUUUGUUAUCCAAAGGAUUCUAUGGCCUUAUGCUUGUCAGGCUAGACGCACAAACCAGGUCACUCUCCUUUCUUUCCGCUCACCCUUGUUAAAACUUGGGAGACUGCUUUCCCCUGAGAAAAUGGACCAGUGAAUUCAAUGAGGGAUUUAAGUUGGCUGAAAUCAAGACUGAAGAUCCUUUCUCCAACCCCACCAUAUCCUUUCCUUCUGAGCUAAUGGAACAGGCUUGUGGAAAGUGUCCAGUUUACCCUGGGCUCAUGGACACUCACUCUGUGUAAGAUGAUGGGGUGUACGAGCUCCAGUCCUCAGGUGCCCACAACCUGGGAGCCAGGUUUGGUUUGCUGUAUAGAACUUCAUCAUGGUUUUGUCUCCUGAUCCUCAUACAGAAGCUUAGUACCAAUCAAUGUCAUCCUACGAACAUUAAUCAAUGUGAGGUGAGAAAGAAAUAUUGAUGCUGGAUGUGACUUUCAUGUUGUCUGUGAUACCAAAAGGUAGGUGAGUUACUACCCAAUUGUGACAGAAGACAGUUUUCUUUCCUCUAUACUGUGUCCCCACAGCUCCCUCAGGUUGAUGAUGUCUGGUUGAGCAGACAGGCCCUCUUACAAUUGUGGGUUCUGUAGUAAGCUACUGACUCUGUUAUCUUGUAGGCCUCCCCUGUCCUGACAGGCUUCCUCAGCUCAGGGAAGCUGGGGGAUGAGAGGGAGGGAGGGGAAGGAAAGAUGCUAAGGCUAUAGAAGGAUAUGGGCUUAAGAGAUUGGGAAAUGGAGGGAAAGAAAGGGAGGGCAGCUACAUUUAGAGGUAGGGGUAGCAGAUUUUCACAUUGUACGCUCAGGAGGAGGUACAUUUGGAGGAAUUCAUUACAAGGAGACUCUCAGAUCAUCUCUGAUGCCCAGGGCCAUUUCUAACAGUGUUACAGUCUACUGGGUAGCUCUCAAUGCUUGUCCUGGUUCUAGAGAGCCCCAUGUAUAGGUGGUAAGAAGGGUAAGAAGGAGGGAGACAAAGGGAGGCAAGGCUCUUUCCUGGAGGAACAGACUAUGUUCCAGGGCUGUGCUGUAGCCACUGACAACCAAUAUAACCUCCACCAUUCAGUGGGAGGAGGUGGGCUUGAAUUUCCUAAGACCAUGAGCAAGAUGUUGUCUGUGACCUGGUGAUGCUGAACUGAGGCACCCCAGGUCAGUCAUCUAGUCCAUGCUUGGGCCCACAUCCAUGGGAGUGACAUUCUGUUUUUAUUCUGACUAUGGCCUUACUUGGAUAUAGUAAGGAAAGCUGUAAUCAAGAUUCACCAAACCAACCUUCUCUGGAUUAGUCAUGAAACCUUUUUAUUGUUCUUUCUUUGAGCUUCAUGAAGCAAUGGGAAUUUUCUCAGACAAGCAAUGCUUUGGAACUGUGAGAGGGGAAAUGGAAACACUGAUGAAAUUCUAAGUUACAGGAGGCUCUGUUCAGUUCACCACCAGAAACUGA